AACCAUUCAACCUGAGCCAAUUUGCUGUGCCAUUAUUUCCCUUUACCCACCAUGUGACACUUUUGUCAGCAGGACUAUAACUCUUAGACUAAUUGAUGCGUGGUCAAUAAAACGUAAGUCUAAGUCUAAGUGAUGGCUGCCUCUGUUCCAACAGUAAUGCGGAUACAAAAUUGGAACUAAGGAAUUUGUUCAGGAUUUUUGUAGCGAUUAGAUUGGGUGACAUGAGAUGAUGGAGUGAGAAAGGUGCAGCAGAAGAACCAGCUCGACACCGUUCAUUGCUGCUGAGUCUUGCCGAAUAAGAGAUUUUCAAAUCUUAUUGGAUCCACUUGUGUGGCGAAUCGCACUGCUGUGCAAGCGAGGUGAAUGCACACCCAAACCCAAACAACCUGGACACCUGGCAGGAUGGGAAAUCCAGGCAAGAAUCCAUCAGCCAUUACUGUGCGCAAUCAGAGUCUCUCAGCGUGCACAGAUCAACCUAUCAUCAAAGACAGAGCUGAAGAAAAUGCAUUUUAGCUUCAUUCACGUAGCCUUCGUCUCUGCCUCAUGCUGACCUCAACAUCCUGACCGAUAAAACGGUCCCUCACCCUCUGAUGCUGAUGGAGGACUUUCUGCGCCAUAGUACAGGGUCUGAUCCAAGUGCCUCCAGAUGCUGGUGCCAUUUGCUCUCCUGCCAAUCAAAGUCCACGGCAGGAUGCCAGUCCCGGAGAGGCCCGGGUUUUAAAGGCGGCUUACCUGUAUCUCCGUAUUAGCGGAUACACACUGUGCUCUCCGCCUGUAGCAGUUCAGUCACACAAGGCAGAGCACCAUCUAUCAGUUGUGAGCGAUAGGCACAAAAUACUCCAGUUUAAAUGCAGUACCAGUCCAACGUUUGGAUAACCCCCAAUUGAAUGAAAUGUGUGCAUUCCUCACUUCCUGUGACUCUAUAGUGGCUUUUUACAUACCAUCCAAAUGACUUGAAACCAUCUAAAAAAAUGUGUCCAAAUACUCGAGAUUUGGCUGUUCAAUUCGCCCCUUUUUAUUUAUUUUUUGAUUUGGACUCUCUGGCAAUCAGAAAUCGAAUUUGCACGAGAAACAGUGAGGAUGUGGAAAUACACUCCCGGUGCGGGAUCAGUGAAGGCUGCUUGUAGGAUUUAAAUCCUUUUGUGGAACCUUGCAUUUCCAGCCUAUCAGUGGACCCCGACUGGCUCUGGCUUGGAAGGUCAUGAGAGUCUGGCAGUGAGAUUUACAGCAUCCCUCACCCGGACCUGGGCGCUUCCCGAGGCUGUGGAUUUACAGCCUAACGUGCCAGAUUUUUCCAAAUACUCAAAUAAAAACGAGAGAAU